rnacentral:rRNA from 1 species
GACGAACGCUGGCGGCGUGCCUAACACAUGCAAGUCGAACGGAAAGGCCCUGCCUUUGUGGGGUGCUCGAGUGGCGAACGGGUGAGUAACACGUGAGUAACCUGCCCUUGACUUUGGGAUAACUUCAGGAAACUGGGGCUAAUACCGGAUAGGAGCUCCUGCUGCAUGGUGGGGGUUGGAAAGUUUCGGCGGUUGGGGAUGGACUCGCGGCUUAUCAGCUUGUUGGUGGGGUAGUGGCUUACCAAGGCUUUGACGGGUAGCCGGCCUGAGAGGGUGACCGGCCACAUUGGGACUGAGAUACGGCCCAGACUCCUACGGGAGGCAGCAGUGGGGAAUAUUGCACAAUGGGCGGAAGCCUGAUGCAGCAACGCCGCGUGCGGGAUGACGGCCUUCGGGUUGUAAACCGCUUUCGCCUGUGACGAAGCGUGAGUGACGGUAAUGGGUAAAGAAGCACCGGCUAACUACGUG